GACGAACGCUGGCGACGUGCUUAACACAUGCAAGUCGAACGAAGAGCGAUGGAAGCUUGCUUCUAUCAAUCUUAGUGGCGAACGGGUGAGUAACGCGUAAUCAACCUGCCCUUCAGAGGGGGACAACAGUUGGAAACGACUGCUAAUACCGCAUACGAUCUAAACUCGGCAUCGAGGAUAGAUGAAAGGUGGCCUCUACAUGUAAGCUAUCACUGAAGGAGGGGAUUGCGUCUGAUUAGCUAGUUGGAGGGGUAACGGCCCACCAAGGCGAUGAUCAGUAGCCGGUCUGAGAGGAUGAACGGCCACAUUGGGACUGAGACACGGCCCAGACUCCUACGGGAGGCAGCAGUGGGGAAUCUUCCGCAAUGGACGAAAGUCUGACGGAGCAACGCCGCGUGAGUGAUGACGGCCUUCGGGUUGUAAAGCUCUGUUAAUCGGGACGAAAGACCUUCUUGCGAAU
rnacentral:rRNA from 1 species